rnacentral:rRNA from 1 species
GUCGGAUUAGCUAGUUGGUGAGGUAACGGCUCACCAAGGCAGCGACGGCUAGGGGGUCUGAGAGGAUGGCCCCCCACAUUGGAACUGAGACACGGUCCAGACUCCUACGGGAGGCAGCAGUGGGGAAUAUUGGGCAAUGGGCGCAAGCCUGACCCAGCGACGCCGCGUGCGGGAGGACGCUUUUCGGAGUGUAAACCGCUGUCAGGGGGGACGAACUCCCGGCAGGCGAACAGUCUGUCGGGCUGACGGUACCCUCAAAGGAAGCGCCGGCUAACUCCGUGCCAGCAGCCGCGGUAAUACGGAGGGCGCAAGCGUUGUUCGGAAUCACUGGGCGUAAAGCGCGCGCAGGCGGAUCGGCAAGUCGGAAGUGAAAUCCCGGGGCUCAACUCCGGGGCUGCUUUCGAAACUGCCGAUCUGGAGACCAGUAGGGGUUGGUGGAAUUCCCGGUGUAGCGGUGGAAUGCGUAGAUAUCGGGAAGAACAUCGGUGGCGAAGGCGGCCAACUGG